rnacentral:rRNA from 1 species
UACGUAGGGUGCAAGCGUUGUCCGGAAUUAUUGGGCGUAAAGAGCUUGUAGGCGGUUUGUCGCGUCUGCUGUGAAAUUUCGGGGCUCAACCCCGAACUUGCAGUGGGUACGGGCAGACUAGAGUGUGGUAGGGGAGACUGGAAUUCCUGGUGUAGCGGUGAAAUGCGCAGAUAUCAGGAGGAACACCGAUGGCGAAGGCAGGUCUCUGGGCCAUAACUGACGCUGAGAAGCGAAA